GACGAACGCUGGCGGCGUGCCUAAUACAUGCAAGUAGAACGCAGUUGCGAACGGGUGAGUAAAGCGUGGAUACCUGUCUCAUUGAGGGGGAUAACUAUGGUGAACGAUAGCUAAUAUCCCAUACUGUGAGCUGGCACUGCGUUGUAUUAGGUAGUUGGUGAGGUAAAGGCUCACCAAGGCGACGAUACAUAGCCGACCUGAGAGGGUGAUCGGCCACAUUGGGACUGAGACACGGCCCAGACUCCUACGGGAGGCAGCAGUAGGGAAUCUUCGGAAACGGACGGAAGUCUGACCGAGCAACGCCGCGUGAGUGAAGAAGGUUUUCGGAUUGUAAAGCUCUGUUGUUAGAGAAGCGGUAACUAAACAGAAAGGGACGGCUAACUACGUGCCAGCAGCCGCGGUAAUUC
rnacentral:rRNA from 1 species